GUUGUCAUGGCCGAGUGGUUAAGGUGAUGGACUGGAAAUCCAUUGGGGUUUUCCCGCUCAGGUUCAAAUCCUGCCGAGUACG
rnacentral:tRNA from 1 species